UACGUAGGUGGCAAGCGAUACUCGGAAUCACUAGGCGUAAAGCGCAGGUAGGAGGUUUGGUAAGUCUAUUGUGAAAGCUCCCGGCUUAACUGGGAGAGGUCAAUGGAAACUACCAGGCUAGAGUGCGGUAGAGGUAGCUGGAAUUCCCGGUGUAGCGGUGAAAUGCGUAGAUAUCAGGAGGAACACCGGUGGCGAAGGCGGGUCUCUGGGCCGAUACUGACGCUGAGGAGCGAAAGCGUGGGGAGCGAACAGG
rnacentral:rRNA from 1 species